GACGAACGCUGGCGGCGUGCUUAACACAUGCCAGUCGAGCGGAAAGGCCCUUCGGGGUACUCGAGCGGCGAACGGGUGAGUAACACGUGAGUAACCUGCCCCAGACUUUGGGAUAACCCUCGGAAACGGGGGCUAAUACCGGAUACGACACAGCUUCGCAUGGGGUCUGUGUGGAAAGUUUUUCGGUUUGGGAUGGGCUCGCGGCCUAUCAGCUUGUUGGUGGGGUGAUGGCCUACCAAGGCGACGACGGGUAGCCGGCCUGAGAGGGCGACCGGCCACACUGGGACUGAGACACGGCCCAGACUCCUACGGGAGGCAGCGGUGGGGAAUAUUGCACAAUGGGCGGAAGCCUGAUGCAGCGACGCCGCGUGGGGGAUGACGGCCUUCGGGUUGUAAACCUCUUUCAGCAGGGACGAAGCGUAAGUGACGGUACCUGCAGAAGAAGCGCCGGCCAACUACGUG
rnacentral:rRNA from 1 species